CUCUACGGCGGGGGCUUGCCGGCCAGAGUGGCGGUGGACAGUGCAACCCAGCAAACGGCUAUGUUGGGCUUGGUGCUGGUUUUGCGUCCUUUCUCCCCUUUUGGCGAGGGCCUACUACAGGGUCAAAAAUUUGGAGGGAAAUGUAGGGUGAGCUCCCCAUGAACACUCAAGGAGGUGGCCUCAAUGCAACUGAUGUUGUUCAUGUGGGAAGAUAGAUCGUCUUGGUUCAAGGGAAGAAAGUUUGUAUAAAUGGGAGUCAAGCGGCAAAACAUCAUUGGCCUCCCUGACGGCAUGACCGUCAAGGCCAUGGACCUCUGGAUGGUAUGUCUACCUUUCAUGGCAUUCGAGGACUGCUUUCAGACGACAUGGAUGAUUGAUCUUGAUCAUUUUAUUAUGUUGUUAUCGUUUUUGUUUGUCGCAACACAAGUCACUGGCUGCCAAGUUCACGGAUAAGAUAUUUCUCGUUGUCGAGGCAAAAAGAAUUAUCUUCUAUCUCAGACACUCUUCUAUGGUAUCAAUUUCUUCAAUGCUUGUAGCAUAAUUUGUUGGAGAAAAAAGAAUGUCUAUUUUCAUGGAGAUCGUACUGUAUUGUUUCAAAAGUACCUUUUUAGGUGGCUUGCAGUGGCUUAUUCUCUGAAUUGGUUUUGCAGGUGUGAAGAAGGUAAGGGGGUUAUCGCGUGAUUGUCUUCGACAUGUGGGGGUGACGGCCUUUGCUGACUAAAUAUGUAAACAAUGAAUAGAAAUCAUUCAGGCCAAUGUUUGAUUUAUAUUUUUGGAAGAAGAGACAUUUCAGGUUUGAGGAUGUGCGAGCAACACUGAUGGUACCAGAGGCUGACUAGGCACUCCAUUGCCAUUUCUGAGUCUCACAUGCCACCCUCGCUAUCGCUGCAUACAAAUGUUAUCCACUUCAUCUUGCUUCAUGUCCCAGGUAUGAGUUGUUGCAUGCUCUUCAUUGUUCUAUCGGUCUACUGGUACAUAGUAUGCGUGUCCUUCUCCAUUGUGUUCUGGGUCUGCUGGUCCAGAGACUUACGUUGAGCACGUUUCUACACUUGGCACACAAUGAACUCAAUUCUAUAGGCUUCUUGAAGUCCUACCUUUGGGUGAGUCAAAUUUUCUUGAGAUUCUAGAAUCCGUGUCCUGGGAUUUCAGUACAUCUCAGGAAACAAAUUGGAAACUUUUAUGUUGUUCUUUCCAGGAGUUCUUUUCUCGAUUUGGUUUUCAAGUUUAUUCCAGAGCCAACCUUUGUGCCAACCACUGAUGCAAGCAAGAAAGAAGCUUUAAUGAACAAUCUUUGGGGAUAAGUACAUCAUCAUAUAAUUUUGUUAUCUUACUAAAAAUAGGACGACUGAGUAGAAUUAGUUCUUUUUUGUGGAAACUAGACUGAUGAUGAUGGUUCGGGUAAAGAUAAAAUGAAAAAGUGGUAAGAAACUAAGAAUGUGUCUAAAUCAAUAAGCUCACUUGUUUUAUCAGUCUUGCACUUGUCAAACUUUCUUUUAGGUGACAUUAUUAUUUGUAGUAUUUCAUGCCACACGAGGUUCCUCAAUAAAAUUAUGUGAAGUUUUUCUUCCUUGAAGAUACAAUCAUUUGUCUAAAUACUUACUCUGAGUUGCAGCAAUCAGCUUGCACUAUUUUCAUGAGGGAGUGGUGGUAUUUCUUGGAUCUGUGAAGAUAAUACCUUUUUAAUUUAUGUUAAUAUACUAUCAUAAUUGAUCUUCUAAAGAGGGGUUAGGCCUACACCUUCCAUUUUCUCUCAGUAGAGAAGUUAUCGGGGGCUAGCUUGGUUGUUUCAGCUUCGGAGAUUUAAUUUACCAUAUCUGAUUAUUUAGUUGCUUGCUUUGAUUAUAUUGGUGUUAUGAAGAAAUGCAGGGUGUUCGCUUGGGAGUUAACUUUUGCUAUUUCCUUCCAUAACAUACCCGUUUUUGGUCAGUAACGUGAAUAUUCUUAUCUGAAGCUGUGUGUUGCAUCCUUGCCACUUUGAAUAUCCCUUGCAUCGUUGUUUUAACAAGAGUCGGCUUCCUUUAUUAUUUUGCUUUUAUAAUGCACCAAGUCAGAAGGGUCACACUGAUCUGUGUAGAGCUUAUAUGCUAUUAAACUUUGAGAUUUUUGACAUACGCUAGGUCUGCACGCUAUGCAAGUUAUGUCGUUGCGAGCGCUCGUAGGUUGCAUGUAUAAUAUUCCUUUUUAUCGGGUCUAUUUCAGUUUGAUGCUGAGUGAGUUUAAUUGAAUUAGGCGGCGUUAAACAGAUUUUGUCUUUUCCUUUGCACUGAACUUGGCAGGGAUUGAUUUCCCAUUUGCGGCGGAAAGCAAUCCUCUGUUCAUAUGUUAAUUAGACUCCUCAAGCUUCAGCUGAAUAAUUUAUAUUUAGAACUAUGUCUACUUAACUAGGAUCACAUAUCCAUUUGUUGCAUAAAUAAUCUUUAUAAAUUAUGUAUGAAAAAAUAACUAUUACCAUUAUAUGUUUUGAUGAAUGGGUCGCCUAGCUCUCUCUCUCUCUCUCUCUCGGUGUGAUGUGUCUAUGUGUUUAUAUGUUCAUCUGUAUGUUUCAUGGAUUUGACAUUGUAAUGAAUUCACAAUUCUGGCUAACAUAUGCUUUUGUAGAAGCUACAUGAUCUUGACGCUUUAUUCGGGCUCAUGAAUAUAAAUAACUUGUUUAUUUACUUUUAUGUAGCUGUAUUGCUUAAUUUUUUUGAUAAUGACUUCUGUACAUCUUAAUUUCUGAAUGCAAGCAGCUGAUAGUGAAAGAUGUUGCAGCUCAUGGUAUAAAUGUUACUUUGACUUGUGACCCAUCUGCAACUUCGAUCCUUGUGCCUAGCAUUCUUCCAACUAUCCACACUUGAACUAUGCUAACAUUCUGUUGAUCAUGUACUUGCUACUCUGAUUGCUAAGUUGAAAAUAUUUAUCCAUGUUUGACCCAGGUGGAGAAACGUACAGACCUAUCGACAAGGAGGAGCUAAAGACAAACACUCAAGAGGAGGGGGACUCUGUUGGUGAGGGCACACUCGACACAAGGUGGAUCUGCUACUUGAAGUUACCAUUUGUAGCCAUUUUGGAUGCUGCCCUCCAAUACCUGCAUACUUGAUGAGUAUUGACAAUGCGAUCCUGCAGUAUCAUGUGUUUAGUUCUUUUGUCUAUUUGGUGUUUCUUCAUUCAAGUUAAUGUUUGUGAAUAAGAAAUUUCUGGUGUUGUAUGCAUAUCUCGUGCAAGAGCUGUCAAUGCUUCAACCUGAAUUUGUUGCCAAAUACUGAUGCACUGGUUUAGGAUUUCUGAACAACCCAUUAUGGAGAAAAUGGAAUGGCAGAUAAGUCGAAAUGAUUAUGCGUUUUGUUUUACUGUGUGUGGUUAUGGUACUUAGCCUUUAAUUUGUUCGCGUCCAUCACCUUUAAUUGUACUGGGCUAACUGCGAAUGGGACACUUAUGCAUCAGA